CAGUAUAUUAAUGCGAUUUUUGAUUUUGUGACUUUUCUUCUGUGUGUGAGUACAAUUGCUUACUCCUCAUUUGGAGACAAGAGAAGAAAGAUGAAGAAAUGACGAAUUGAGAACUUCCUACCAACAGUGACCCCCUAACCAGAAAAGAGACCUCCAUCAUUGCCAGAAAAGAUACACAGAGAGCCACCGCCCGAGCUUCCGGCUAUCCCCAUUCCCAUCCCUCCUGCGCCACCUCUCAGAGGUCCCCCAUAGGCAGAGCCAAGCCCUGGCAAGCAACCUGCAGAGCCACCACUAAAGCCAGAACCAGAACCAAACAUGGAAGCAGCAGAAAAGAUGCCCCCACAGCCAACUCCAAAGCCAGAGGCCGUUCCCCCAUAGCCGCCGGCAACACUAGAAGCAGAUGCACCCCAAGGUCUGCCUGCCACCCCGUUCUGUGAGGAAGACCUCCUGGACAGCGCAGAGGUGCAGACUGAAAGUGACAUGCUGUUGCUGGAGAGUUUGGCAAGGUGGUGACCCCAGAGAGACUGCAGUGCUGACACCAGGAUAGUGAUGACUGGAGCGUUAAAGAAUCCUUCCGAAGUCCCAUGCUUCCUGAAGCUCUGUCCUCCCCUCCCCUGUCUAUUUCUUUCGGAAACACGAUAUAAGCCAACCAACCAUGCUGUGGUUCUCUCCGUACGGCCAGUUUCAGAGGCAGAUGAAGAGUGCAUUCCUGGAAGUGACAGAGAGCUUGAUUCUUCUUCCUUCAGCAUGAACAACACUCCCCUAAUCCAGAUAGUGUUUGCCCUUAUUCAGCCUCCCCAGAGGUGAAAUCUUAAAUCCAUAGUUGUAUCAAGCCAGAGUGAGAGCUGCCUAUUGGAGACUCGGGAACACGUGCAGAAGGUCACACCUGAGCUUCAUGGCUGACCUCCAUAAGAAAUACCCAGGACAGGGGCUGGAGAGAGAGCACUGCCUGCUCUUCCAGAGGUCCUGAGUUCAAUUCCUAGCAACCAUGUGGUGGCUCACAACCAUCUGUAAUGGGAUCCGAUGCACUCUUCUGAUGUGUCUGAAGACAGCUACAGUGUACUCACAUAAAAUAAAGAAAUCUAAAAAAAGGAAGAAAGAAAGAAGGAAAGAUACCCAGGAUCGAACGGACUGACAGCUUUUCAAAUCACUUUCCCAGGGUCAGGAACACUGAACCCGUAGUGACAGCUACUGACAACUCCCCUUAACCUUGUUAAAUAAGGAACAUGUGCAAGGGACACAUUCUCCUCCCAGCCUAUACACAGUCACAAAGAAAGGGCGGGGCUUCAAAGCAAGAGGCUUGCAGAAGUUACAUAUUUAUACUGUAAACAUGGGAAGCAUCAGCAAUCUCAGGCAGACAAGGUUUGAUGAGGCAGUCUGCCAUCCACUUGCCUCAUUUGUAGGAAGCAUGGCAAGUUAACUGAGAUGCCAAGACCUGAAGUCUCAGAUGGAGGCUCCACCAAGGGCUCCUCCAAUCUAUUGGCUGAGCUUGUCAGUUCCCAUGUUCCUGCUGUUGUCCAGACAUUGGAUCAAGCGAGUCCCAGACCUUGUGUUUCAGAGAGCUCCUAUCAUGGUGCUUUUAUCCCACUUUACAACAGAACCACCUCAGAGUCAGGACACUGACUUAUUUAAGGCAGAGAGAGAAAUCAGGUCUGUAGUAUAGUCCACAGACAGCGCAACCUUGAUGCUUCUCUCGGUGAAAUACAAAGGACACCAGGUGACUGUGACCUCCUUAACUGUGAGAUUGGAGUUCUCGCCCACACACCAACCAGAAACUCUGACUCUGUCCUUCCUGGAACUUCUCAGGGCACAGCCCAAGACCACAAAAUCAUUUUCUGUGGCCUAUGAAAAAUGACACUCUGUGAGAUGCUGCCAAUGCUUAGGCAGAUGUGUCUUUAGUUUGGGUUUUGUCCUCUGCCCUCAUCUCCAGACGUACGACAAAGCAUAAGUGAGUGGCAUUGUGGUUGUUUCCUAUGACUCACAAGCAACACUCUCGCAAGGCAGAGUGGCUCCAUUUUACCACCAUAGAACAAAACAGGGGUUGUUGCUUGCUUACGGUGUCAAAAGGGAUGCACCCCAAACAAAAUGUCCACUUAGCAGCUUAUAACAACCGGCUAAUAACGUAAUGUGAACAACAUGUAUUUUUGAACUUGGAGUCAAUUUUGUCCUGAAACGCAUACUUUACAUUCUUAAUGCUUAUAUGUAUAUAGUUAUAGAUAUUUAAUUUAAUUUUAAUAUUUUUUUUUUUGAGACUGGGUUUCACUGUGUAGCCUUGGCUGUCCUGGAACUCACUCUGUAGAUCAGGCUGGUCUUGAACUCUCAGAGAUCUGUCUGCCUCUACCUUCCAAGGGCUAGGAUUAAAGGCAUGCGCCAACGCUGUCUGGCUGUAUAUUUUAAGUAAAUUUGCUUCAUAGCCUGCAUUAGGCUUUUAUAAUAGACAUUUGUGUUUCUACAUGGGUAUGCUCCUGAACUGUAGGCUUCUAAAGUGGAGAUCAGGUGUCUAACUGUUUUACCCUGAGUCCCAGUCUACUCUUUGACUAAAAACCUUCAUUUUAUACCCAGCAUUGUUUUGCUUGAAAGAAUUUAUUUGUAAUUUGCUUAAAUGUGUCACUGAAAAUGUACUUCAAAAUCAUCAUGCCCCAACUCUCUGGAAUGCUUGAUUAAGUCUUAUUCUGAACUCAGGUAUAAGGAAAUAACUUCGGAAGUUGGGAAGAGCCAUAUUUCUCUUUAAGUGACUAUUUGGAAAGGC
ensembl:antisense